UGCAGCUCAAUCCCCCCCAACAUUCCCUCUCUAUAGCUGCAGCUCGGCAGAGUUUGAUCAAUAACGUGUCCUUCAUUCUCAAGUCGGGCCUGACCUUGGCAGCCUUUUGUCUCUUUCCAGGGGCCAGAGUGCGCAUGUACAGGUUGGAAAACAAGGCUCUCAAAAAUCCACCCAUGGAAGGAAAAGAAUUCCCCCCACUGCCUCCACACUACAGCUUUCUCAUUAAGAGCCUAAUGAAUCAUAUAUUUAUAGCGUUCUUAUCUUAGCGUAAUGAGGGCAACGUCAAUGGAGACGGCAGAGCCAAUCCCAACCUGACUUAGGAACAAAGAGCACCUGUGUGCAGUCACAGAUGACAAAAGCCGUGAUGGAAACUGGCUUCUGCUGGACAGCGGACUUGUAGCUGGGCACCAGAUGUACAAGGAGGAGAGCAAUGUCUGGAUCUUAAGCCAAACUGAGUGCCAUGUUACAAGAGAAUUCCUGAGGCGAGCCAAUGGCCCGAUAAAUCUGCCGGAGCCUCUCUCUCAAUUUGUCUCCAUGGAAUGUCAGCUGGCAAGCGCCCAGACACUGAGAACCUCUUUUCACAAUGCGCCAAUCUAACAGACGAGAUCCCAUGUUGGAGCUACAGUACAAGGACUGGCAUGGAUAAAUUGCCACGUGCCUUAUCUAGGUCUCUUUAUGUCUAACUGUCUGAGGUCUUGCUCCUCACACGGCCUCCGAAGGCCACUUCCUCCUAGACCUGGCGGUUAACCUAAACGGCUGAGUGGAUGACAUUGACAAAAUGCAGGUGUCACCAAAGAGGAAGCUGUGAUAUGACACAGAUGCUGUGUCAACCUGUCUUCCUCCAUAUGACCCACAGUGUGAACAGAAAUUGUGCUGUUUGGUGUCGUUCUUCACUGUGUGGCGCAGUCUCCCACAUAGCUCGGUCCAGGUGGUGGAAUGGCAGAGUGGGAGAACAGACCAUGUUUGUGUGAAGAUGCAACAACUAUCUCUCUUUUUUUCUUUCUCACUCAUUCCCUCCCUGCCUCCCUCCCUCCCUCCGUCUUCAGACUGCUGUAGCACUCUUUGUACUCUAUUUAAAGGUUGUAGGUUAGCAAACAACAAGAUGCCUUCCCACCUGUACCCCUAAAUGAGUCAUGAGCCAUGAAUGAAUUCGUCCAUUUAUUUAUGUACAGUAUUUGCAGGAAAAAUACAUACAUGUAUACAAAGAUGAACAGGAGCAUAGAUUGUUCUUUCCCCAUCAAGAUAUCAUGUUGCAAUCAUUGAUUUAUAAAUGAUUUACUGUUUACCACAAAAUUUUGUUAAUGUUACUGUUAACAUUAUGUUAAUAGCUUACACAACUGUAUCGCGUAUAGAAAUCGGAAUUAAGUUUAUCUUUAUAUCAUAUAAUGCAGUAAUGACUUAGAAAAAUGCACAUAGACACAGAUGAUAUUAUCCUCCUGUUACAUUGCUGUACAGUUAGAUUAUGACUAUGCAUGUCUGUUGAAUCACAGUGUGGUUAUCUGGGCAUAUUAAAAUAUCUUUAUUUUGUAAAUCAGAAACUAUCAAAUGAUUCAGGACAAAA